UCGACCGGGGCGACAGCAAUAUGAAGGUCAGGCUGAAGACCUUACCCGAUUAGCUGAGAGGUGGUGCAUGGCCGUCGUCAGUUCGUACUGUGAAGCAUCCUGUUAAGUCAGGCAACGAGCGAGACCCACGUCCACAGUUGCCAGCAUACCCUCCGGGGUGAUGGGUACACUGUGGAGACCGCCGCUGCUAAAGCGGAGGAAGGAGUGGGCAACGGUAGGUCAGUAUGCCCCGAAUCUCCCGGGCUACACGCGGGCUACAAUGGUUGGUACAAUGGGCAUCUACCCCGAAAGGGGAAGGAAAUCUCUUAAAGCCAAUCGUAGUUCGGAUUGAGGGCUGCAACUCGCCCUCAUGAAGCUGGAAUCCGUAGUAAUCGCGUUUCGACAGAACGCGGUGAAUACGUCCCUGCUCCUU
rnacentral:rRNA from 1 species